CAGAGCGUAUUGGAUUCAUGGAAAAGUGCGAUUCCUGGAGGCUAGAAACUGAAAGAGAAUAAUCUCAUUUGCGAAAAGCACUUUAAUAAUGAAGAUGUCGUUAAGGAAUUCGUGCAAAUCUUUCCGGAUGGUACAAAACAAACUCUCCAGAGAGAAAAAGCGGCACUGAGAAAGGAGCUGUGCCUUGCAUUUUUCCUGACAGGCUACACCUUGCGGAGGUUGCAGACACAAUUGCAGAUCACGUACAGCGUAAUUCACAACAACAAAUCGCACCUUGCGAGUAUUCGUCGGAAAAUGCACGGAGUAUCGAUGAGGCGAAUAAAAAGAUGUUAAAAGCAAGGCGAAGUAUCUCUGAUAUCAAUUCGCUCGUAAGCUGUAAGAGGUAAGCACACCAACUUGAAACUGAUGAAGGUACAUCGCGGAAUGGUCGUGAGAUUGACGAGAUCCAAUGUGCAACAGUUUCUUCACGAGAAAGCCAAUCAUUGGCGAAUGCUGAAAACGAAGAGACAGAAUCAACAACAGUUUCUUUGCGAGAAACUCAUUUUGUAGAAAUCUGUAAUUCGUUAAUGCACAACGCUCAGUCAGUCACAUUACCUGGUAAUUGGAUUCCACAAGUUAUUUGCACUGGAGUAAAAUGCAUUAUGUUUGCCGAAUGGAAAGAAAAUUACUCAAGCAUCGCUAAACGUAUUGUGAUUUUCUCAAACAUGAGUGUGGAUAUUUACGUCGAGGAAAUCUUGGUAGAUGUAGUCGGCAUAAAAAACAUUGCGUCGGUUGACGAUAUUUCUAGAAUUGUUUCAUACGUAGCGAACUGUGUGCUUCCUUGCCAGAAAAUUGAUGAAACCAACAAAUAUAAAUGAUACAUAUAUAUAUUCGAUCUAUUCAAUUAAAAUUGUGAUAAUCGGAAUUAUUUAUUUUGUUUUUUACAGGUCACCUAAUUGUCGUGGAUUCGUAUUGACUAAAACUUGCUUUACAACCGACUCCAAAUGUUCCCCAGGUCCCAAAGCAGCGAGAUGUCCUGAAU